GGAACCUGCACCACCUGGGCCACGUUCUGCAGGAGCAGCCAAGUCAAGCAUUCCUGAGGAUGCUAACGAAAAGGGUCCAUUUAAUUACCAGAGAGGAGAACCCCAAGGAGAAGAGAAUGGAACUGCAUAGCUAAGCAGGAUGGGAAUAUUGGAAUCCUGGAUCUUUGCUUGUUGGAAACUUGAAGACAAUUAUUGGAAAUAUUUUUAAAAGUAUUUUAUUUCCAGGAACUGUAAUACUGAGUAACAUGUGACAUCCAAGGGCAAGAGAAAUAAAUAUUGAGUAUGUGGAGGAAAAAGAAAACCAUUUUAUCUCUUCAUCUGGAACAUUUUUCUUACAUACAUUUUUAAAAUUGUGGUAAAAUACACCUAAUAUUCUAACCAUUUUAAAGUGUAUAGUUCAGUAGAAUUUUUAAAAAAUUAGACAAUUGAAUGUUUUGGGUUUAUCAAAUUAUAUGCUCAUACCACUUGCUACCAUGAACACUUGUGAAUUUUCUCAUAAAAUUAGAAUUCUUUAGU